rnacentral:rRNA from 1 species
UUCCGCAAUGGGCGAAAGCCUGACGGAGCGACGCCGCGUGUGGGAUGAAGUCCUUCGGGAUGUAAACCACUGUCGGAGGGGAAGACAUCGACGGUACCCUCCAAGAAAGCCCCGGCUAACUACGUGCCAGCAGCCGCGGUAAUACGUAGGGGGCUAGCGUUAUCCAGAUUUACUGGGCGUAAAGCGCGUGUAGGCGGCUGGUUAGGUGUGAUGUGAAAUCCUCGGGCUCAACCCGAGAACUGCAUUGCAAACCGGCCUGGCUAGAGUGCAGGAGAGGGAAGCGGAAUUCCAGGUGUAGCGGUGAAAUGCGUAGAUAUCUGGAGGAACACCGGUGGCGAAGGCGGCAUCCUGGACCGGCAUUGACGCUGAGGCGCGAAAGCCAGGGGAGCAAACGGGAUUAGAUACCC